AGGAUUAUAGUUUAUAAAAACAUUUGAUUUGCAUUCAAAAAUUACUGAAAUUCAGUUUAUCUUA
rnacentral:tRNA from 1 species